rnacentral:rRNA from 1 species
AAGUCGUAACAAGGUUUCCGUAGGUGAACCUGCGGAAGGAUCAUUACCGAACCGCCGACACGAGCUGUUGCUGGUCUCCAAACGGGGGCAUGUGCACGCUCUGUUUGUGCAUCCACUCACACCUGUGCACCUUCUGUAGUUCUGUGGCCUGGGGGGCUCGUCCUCCUGCUGCGGUUCUGCGUCUUUACACUCACACUGUGAUAAAGUCUAAUGGAAUGCAUGCUGCGUUUGACGCAAUACAAUACAACUUUCAGCAACGGAUCUCUUGGCUCUCGCAUCGAUGAAGAACGCAGCGAAAUGCGAUAAGUAAUGUGAAUUGCAGAAUUCAGUGAAUCAUCGAAUCUUUGAACGCACCUUGCGCCCUUUGGCUAUUCCGAAGGGCAUGCCUGUUUGAGUAUCAUGAACAUCUCAACUCCUCACGGUUUGCCCGUGAUGAGCUUGGACUUUGGGGGUCUUGCUGGCCUGUGGGUCGGCUCCUCUCAAACGAAUCAGCUUGCCGGUGUUUGGUGGCGUCACAGGUGUGAUAACUAUCUACGCUUGUGGCUUCCCGCCAGGUAACCUUCAGCGAUGGGGGUUCACUGGAGCUCACAAAUGUCUCUCCUCAGCGAGGACUGCU